rnacentral:tRNA from 1 species
CGGGAUGUAGCUCAGUUGGUAGAGCGCACGGUUUGGGACCGUGAGGCCGCACGUUCGAGUCGUGUCAUCCCGACUA